rnacentral:lncRNA from 1 species
GUGAGUUUACUUGCCAGCAAUCGACGUUAGCUAACUAUCGAACAGUCAAUCUAUUCGCAACCGGAAGACUGUUCAUUUAGCAACGUAAAAAAUGUUUUGUUAAACGUAGCUAGCCUAUUGCUGUAUUCCAUGUUGUUAGUUUAAUUAUUUGUGACGGAGGACUUGCCUCGACAAAAUGUAUGGCAGCAAGGACUGCAGUAAAGUCUUGAGGGAGACCUGUAACAGUGGACCAUGCCCCAGACAGUGAGUAACCCCCCGGGCUUGUGCAUUAGUGCCAAAACCAUUCCAGAGAGAGAGACGAUAUAUUCAUGCACUGGCGCCACAGACCCUGUUCCAGAGAGGAAGGUGAUGUAUUCAGGCAAUGGUAUACUGGACCCUGCUCCAGACCGUAGGUACAGGCAGGCCUAUUCUUCCAGGUAUAGGUGGAAAUGGAGGAGGAAGUCAAAAAAAGAAACACAGCCGUUGCCGCCAGCCCCACCUCUGCCACCGUAUGAGGAAGAAAACUGGGAGGAGGAGAUGGGAAUCGUUGAGACAUAUGGAUUUGCUCCAUAUGGACUUUUUCAUGGAGGGUGGUGUUCAGUGAUACCAAAUUGGAGAAGACAUUUUGCUGAAACAGAGGUGCUAGAGGACUUGUUCAGCCCAGAGGAUGUGGAUAGAGUGGCCCUACAGGGGUUGACCCUGAACCAGCCCCCCUGCCCUCCCCACCCCCAGACAGCAACCGACUACAGCCCUGCCACGCACCACCAAGCCCCCAUCAAAUGGGUCUGCCACAUCAUCUGCAUCGUGAAGGAGCAGUUUGUCGACGCAGAGGUUUGAGGUCCGGUGUGUUCCGAUACACUUUUUAUUAGUUUACUCUUUAAUUGUGAGCUCUUAGGAAUGAUUUUAGUUGUUUUCUCAGGUGUUUUAAGUUCUGCUUGUCCCUUGGUUGGUUUAUUAAUGAAUUAGGAUGAUGUAUUUGUAGCCUUGUUGACAGUUGGGUCACGUGUUAAUAACACUUCAUGAUUUUUGUGAAUUUCAAUAGAUUUGUAGUCUAACUCUUAACUAAAAGAGAAAUCAUAAAAACUAUCUUAUUUUUUUGAAAUACUUUUGUUUUAAAAGCAAAUAACUGAUAGGCCCAUGUGUUCAACUGUCACUCUCCCUUUAAAAUCAAAUGUGUUAAAAUAGAGGGCCCAGUGCAAGAAUAAGAUGUUACCAGGUUUAUUACACUGAUAUGUUUGGAUUUAUUCUCAAAUGGAUUGGACUGAUUCUGAGCCCAUGGAGAGCAAGAGGUCAGGUCUCCAUGACUCCAGCACUCUGUAAUACACAACCCACUGGGCACAGAUGUCAAUUCGACAUUGGUUCAAUGUAAUUUCAUUGUAAUGGUGUGGAAACAACGUUGCUUCAAACAGUGUGCACCCAGUGAGAAUGAAAUUCAGCUUUUAAAUUCCAGGAUCUCUUUAACACGAAUAAACCAUGCAUUUUAACAACAAC